rnacentral:rRNA from 1 species
AGUGAACGCUGGCGGUAGGCCUAACACAUGCAAGUCGAACGGCAGCACAGUAAGAGCUUGCUCUUACGGGUGGCGAGUGGCGGACGGGUGAGGAAUACAUCGGAAUCUACUUUUUCGUGGGGGAUAACGUAGGGAAACUUACGCUAAUACCGCAUACGACCUACGGGUGAAAGCAGGGGAUCUUCGGACCUUGCGCGAUUGAAUGAGCCGAUGUCGGAUUAGCUAGUUGGCGGGGUAAAGGCCCACCAAGGCGACGAUCCGUAGCUGGUCUGAGAGGAUGAUCAGCCACACUGGAACUGAGACACGGUCCAGACUCCUACGGGAGGCAGCAGUGGGGAAUAUUGGACAAUGGGCGCAAGCCUGAUCCAGCCAUACCGCGUGGGUGAAGAAGGCCUUCGGGUUGUAAAGCCCUUUUGUUGGGAAAGAAAAGCAGCAGGUUAAUACCCCGCUGUUCUGACGGUACCCAAAGAAUAAGCACCGGCUAACUUCUUG